rnacentral:lncRNA from 1 species
AAAUUUUCUUGAUUAAAUUGGACAUCCUUGCUGUCAUAUAAACUGAGAUAUUGCUGUCAAUUCCCUCCUCAAAUCUCUCAAAUUUUUUGUGGAGAUUUCGUCGAGAAACCGUUGUUUCUUCGACGAUAAUUCUGCUCUUACAAGACAACACAAUUCUGCAGCAAACUUUCACUGAUUUCUAUCAAACCUAUACAUGCCUUUAACCCGUCAACAAAAGAGAGAUCUUAACAUCACAGAUUUGGAGUCAUAUACUAUGGCAUCUGAGGAGGCAAUCAAUGCUAAAUUUGAAGCCUUU